CCCUAGUAACUGCGAGUGAAGCGGGAAAAGCUCAAAUUUAAAAUCUGGCGGUCUUUGACUGUCCGAGUUGUAAUCUAGAGAAGUGUUAUCCGCGCUGGACCGUGUACAAGUCUCCUGGAAUGGAGCGUCAUAGAGGGUGAGAAUCCCGUCUUUGACACGGACUGCCAGGGCUUUGUGAUAUGCUCUCAAAGAGUCGAGUUGUUUGGGAAUGCAGCUCAAAAUGGGUGGUAAAUUCCAUCUAAAGCUAAAUAUUGGCGAGAGACCGAUAGCGAACAAGUACCGUGAGGGAAAGAUGAAAAGAACUUUGGAAAGAGAGUUAAACAGUACGUGAAAUUGCUGAAAGGGAAACGCUUGAAGUCAGUCGCGUUGUCCGGGGAUCAACCUUGCUUUUGCUGGGCGUACUUCCCGGUUAAUGGGUCAGCAUCAAUUUUGAUCGUUGGAUAAAGGUUAGGGGAAAGUGGCAUCUUCGGAUGUGUUAUAGCCCUUGGUCGCAUACAACGGUUGGGAUUGAGGAACUCAGCACGCCGCAAGGCCGGGUAUUUAUACCACGUUCGUGCUUAGGAUGCUGGCAUAAUGGCUUUAAUCGACCCGUCUUGAAACACGGACCAAGGAGUCUAACAUGCCUGCGAGUGUUUGGGUGGAAAACCCGAGCGCGUAAUGAAAGUGAAAGUUGAGAUCCCUGUCGUGGGGAGCAUCGACGCCCGGACCAGACCUUUUGUGACGGAUCCGCGGUAGAGCAUGUAUGUUGGGACCC
rnacentral:rRNA from 1 species